GACGAACGCUGGCGGCGUGCUUAACACAUGCAAGUCGAACGGCCCGGCCCUGCAUUUGCGGGCUGCUCAAUUGCCGAAGGGGUGCUUAACACUUGUGUAAACUGCCCUAGGCUAACGUGUAGUUUUAGGAUAUUCGGGCUAAUACCGGAUAGGAUCUCCUGCUGCAUGGUGGGGGGUGGAAAUUUUAGGCUGUUGGGGAUGGGCUUGCGGCUUAUCAGCUUGUUUGUGGGGUUGGGGCUUACCAAGGCCUGGACGGGUAGCCGGCCUGAGAGGGUGGACGGACACAUUGGGCCUGAGAUGAGGCACAGACUCCAACGGGACGCAGCAGAGGGGAAGAGUAUACAAGGGGCGGAAGGCUGAUGCAGCAAAGCCGCGUGCGGGAUGAGGGGCUUGGGGUAGUAAACCGCUGUCGCUUGUGACGAAGCGUGAGUGACGGUAAUGGGAAAAGAAGCACCGGCUAACUACGUG
rnacentral:rRNA from 1 species